rnacentral:rRNA from 1 species
UACGGGGGGAGCAAGCGUUGUUCGGAUUUACUGGGCGUAAAGGGCGCGUAGGCGGUCAGCACAAGUCAGUUGUGAAAUCUCCGGGCUUAACUCGGAAAGGUCAACUGAUACUGUGCGACUAGAGUGCGGAAGGGGCAACUGGAAUUCUCGGUGUAGCGGUGAAAUGCGUAGAGAUCGGGAGGAAUACCAGUGGCGAAGGCGGCCUUCUGGACUGACACUGACGCUGAGGCGCGAAAGCCAGGG